rnacentral:rRNA from 1 species
UACGUAGGGGGCAAGCGUUGUCCGGAAUCAUUGGGCGUAAAGAGCGUGUAGGCGGCCCGGUAAGUCCGCUGUGAAAGUCCAGGGCUCAACCCUGGGAUGCCGGUGGAUACUGUCGGGCUCGAGUCCGGAAGAGGAGUGUGGAAUUCCUGGUGUAGCGGUGAAAUGCGCAGAUAUCAGGAGGAACACCAAUGGCGAAGGCAGCACUAUGGGACGUGACUGACGCUGAGACGCGAAAGCGUGGGGAGCAAACAGG